AGAGUUUGAUUAUGGCUCAGAUUGAACGCUGGCGGCAUGCCUUACACAUGCAAGUCGAACGGUAACAGGUCUUCGGAUGCUGACGAGUGGCGAACGGGUGAGUAAUACAUCGGAACGUGCCCAGUAAUGGGGGAUAGCUCGGCGAAAGCCGGAUUAAUACCGCAUACGCCCUGAGGGGGAAAGUGGGGGACCGCAAGGCCUCACGUUAUUGGAGCGGCCGAUGGCUGAUUAGCUAGUUGGUAGGGUAAAGGCCUACCAAGGCGACGAUCAGUAGCUGGUCUGAGAGGACGAUCAGCCACACUGGGACUGAGACACGGCCCAGACUCCUACGGGAGGCAGCAGUGGGGAAUUUUGGACAAUGGGGGAAACCCUGAUCCAGCAAUGCCGCGUGUGCGAAGAAGGCCUUCGGGUUGUAAAGCACUUUUGUCAGGGAAGAAAUCCUUUGGGCUAAUACCCUAGGGGGAUGACGGUACCUGAAGAAUAAGCACCGGCUAACUACGUGCCAGCAGCCGCGGUAAUUCA
rnacentral:rRNA from 1 species